GGCAGCAGGUCUCUAGAUAGAAGUACUGGCAAAGUUACAAUUAAAAUUCUGCAUUCCUCAAUGCUCAGCUUACAAGAAAAUAAAGCCACAGACCACAUUAAAAAGGAAGAGCACACAUCUGAACU